GACGUAGGGGCGAGCGUGUCGGAAUUACUGGGCGGUAAAGGGACGGCGUAGGCGGUCAAUCAAGUCAGGUGUAAAAGACCCCGGGCUCAACCCGGGGUAGCACCUGAAACUGGUUGGCUAGAGGGCAGGAGAGGGGAGUGGAAUUCCCGGUGUAGCGGUGAAAUGCGUAGAUAUCGGGAGGAAUACCAGUGGCGAAGGCGACUCUCUGGACUGGCCCUGACGCUGAGGCGCGAAAGCGUGGGGAGCGAACAGGAUUAGAUACCCCCGUAGU
rnacentral:rRNA from 1 species